rnacentral:misc_RNA from 1 species
UACGGAGGAUCCAAGCGUUAUCCGGAUUCAUUGGGUUUAAAGGGUGCGUAGGCGGGACAGUAAGUCAGUGGUGAAAUCCUGCGGCUUAACCGUAGAACUGCCAUUGAUACUGCUGUUCUUGAGUGCAGAUGAGGUAGGCGGAAUGUGUCAUGUAGCGGUGAAAUGCAUAGAUAUGACACAGAACACCAAUAGCGAAGGCAGCUUACCAAACUGCAACUGACGCUGAGGCACGAAAGCGUGGGGAGCGAACAGG